AGGAGGGAGCGGGGGGCGGAGCGGCUGCCGCUCCGUCCCCCGCCGCCGUCGGAGGAACAGCAGCCGCGGGUGGGAGCGGGCGGUGGGCGCGGGUGGGCGGGGAGCGGCCGCCACCCCCGCCCGCCCGCCCCUCUCCCCGCGGGCUGGGGGCGAUGGCGCCGUGCCCACCCCCCGGCCGCCCGGGCAGCGCCAUGGGCGAGCCCGGCUGCUCCGGGGGAAGUUGAAGGCUGGGCCCCCCGGCGGGCCGCUCCGCCGGCUGCGAGGGGGCGGGCGGCGGUGGGUGCCCGAGGAGGAGCCCGAGCAUCUCGGGCGGCGGGGAGAGCCGGCGAGCGGGCAGAGGGGCUUCAUGGGCAGCUCACGCCAACAUGGUCCUCGCCCUCAACGGCAGUCACCUCUACGGUAACCUCCGGCCCUUGGUCCUGGAGGACCCGCGGGCGCUGAGCGGCGGCAGGAUGAUCGCCGGCUCCUGGCCCCCGCGCAGCCUGGCGAGGCUCGGCCCGUCGCCCCCCCCGUCGGCGCUGCCCACGGCGAGCCCCCUCCCCGCCAACGACUCGCAGUGCGGGGAGCAGAUCCUCAGCUACGGCAACGUGGAGAAAGUUGUCAUCGGGGCCGUCCUCUCCCUCAUCACCCUGCUGACCAUCGCCGGCAACUGCCUGGUGGUCAUCUCCGUCUGCUUCGUGAAGAAGCUGCGGCAACCCUCCAACUAUCUCAUCGUCUCGCUGGCCCUGGCCGACCUCUCGGUGGCCCUAGCCGUCAUGCCCUUCGUCAGCGUGACCGACCUCAUCGGCGGCGAGUGGAUCUUCGGGCGCCUCUUCUGCAACGUCUUCAUCGCCAUGGACGUCAUGUGCUGCACAGCCUCCAUCAUGACUCUCUGCGUGAUCAGUAUCGACAGGUACCUGGGAAUAACGAGACCUCUUACAUACCCUGUAAGGCAGAAUGGGAAGUGCAUGGCCAAAAUGAUCCUGUGUGUAUGGCUCUUAUCUGCCUCUAUCACUAUACCCCCACUCUUCGGUUGGGCCCAAAAUGUAAAUGAUGAAAAGGUUUGUUUGAUCAGUCAAGACUUUGGCUACACCAUUUACUCCACAGCAGUUGCAUUUUAUAUUCCAAUGUCAGUGAUGCUUUUCAUGUACUAUCAGAUUUACAAAGCUGCCAAGAGGAGUGCUGCUAAACACAAGUUUGCUGGUUUUCCCCGGCCAGAAGAAAUGGAAGGGAUUUCUAUGAAUGGAGUUGUAAAACUGCACAAGGAAUCUGAAGAAUGUACUAAUUUUUCACGGCUCCUAAAACACGAUAAGAAAAACAUUUCCAUCUUUAAAAGAGAACAGAAAGCUGCCACUACGCUUGGGAUUAUUGUUGGGGCUUUCACUGUCUGCUGGCUGCCCUUCUUCCUUCUCUCAACUGCCAGGCCCUUCAUCUGUGGUACAGCAUGCAGCUGUAUCCCACUGUGGGUUGAGAGAACAUUUCUAUGGUUGGGUUAUGCAAACUCUCUCAUUAACCCUUUUAUAUAUGCCUUCUUCAAUCGGGACUUGAGGACAACUUAUCGCAAUCUCCUGCAAUGCAGAUAUAGGAAUAUCAACCGGAAACUAUCAGCUGCAGGGAUGCAUGAGGCUCUGAAGCUUGCAGAAAAGCCAGAAUUUGUUCUGUAAGGUCACUCAUCCUUUAUUAUGAUAAUUUAUUGUUUUAUCAUAUUAGCUUUUCCCCCACAGAUUUGAAAGAAGAGUUAUAGGAAGAAUCAGGCUUCUUGAGCACUGUUAAUGCAGUCAUCAAGAAACUGGAAGGUAGCAAGGUUAAUUCUUCUACAGCCCACUGGUCCUAUCAAGCCUGGAGAAACAAGACCACCAUCUAAAGAAUUUGUGUGCAAGAGGAAUACCUGAAAGGGGGAGGGUAAAAGGUGGUGCAGGAUCUUUGGGUUGCUAGUGAGGAAUGAGCAAACUUGGCCUAAUCCAUUCAUUUGGUCCUUGGCCCCAAAUGACUUUUAAUAGGUCUGAAUGUUGGAUACAUCUUGUAUCCUAGAGAUUUUUUUCUGUAAUAAACACCUGAGAAUGGUGAAAAGUUCAGUAUAAUUCAUUGCUUUCAACUUUGUUUUUAUAAAACUAAACCAUUUAAGAAGAAGCUGGAUCAAAGAACUAACAUUGCUUAGAAAAACUCUUUAUUAUAAAAAAAACAUACGUCCAUUAAAUGUUAAUUUACUGGAUUACCUGGAAGUAAACUACUUUGUGAAAUUUAAUGUUGCCUUUGCAUAGCAACUAUGGCACUGAAAGAAUAUGUUACACUUCCAAUGUGAAUAUAAGGGUUUGAGUAAAGUCACACAGACCGACAUAUACUGCUGCAUACAGUCAUGCAGCACGAUUAGUUGCAGUGCUGCUAUGCCAAUUACACCAGUGGUAUCUAGAUUAGGACUUUUAGUCAUUCCAGGACAUCGCUCAUCUAGUUCAUCCACUUUUUUAAAAAUGGAAGAAGUUCUGAUUUCUCCAGGGAAAAAGAGUCAAGACCAACUGUGCAUCAAGGCAGCCAGAAAAAGCCAGACCAGAACUGGAAGAAGAAAAAUGAAGAGUUGUCUUCUGAAGAACUGGAUAGAUUUAUGAAAUGUACUUCAUCUUCUUUUGAUGGGAAUGUGCUUAAAAUACUCAAUGAGCUCAACACGUUACAUUAAAUACAUUUCUGUUGGAAGUAGUCACAUCUUGUUUGUUAUGAAGAAAAGUGCUGCUAUAUACAAAUGAAAAUAGUUUUCUUCCUGAGAAAGCCAAAUCACUUCAGCAAUAAGAGUUUGACACAGAGCGGGGAAAAAGAAAUGCAACUAAAACUCAAAGAUAAAGCACUGUACAAAUUUUCACUACAUUCAGCAAUGUAGAAGAGCAUUCAUUUAUGUUUACCAUGCUUGUGGAUCGCGACAUUUGUAUUAAUAUUUAGGGGUUGUCAGUGAUACUGAUUAUAUUUGGUUGUACUACAAAAAGGUUUUCAAGCAAAUGGUGGCUCUGUGGAUGCUUUCAGUGCUUGUGUUAGAGAUGCUCUGCACUGGAAUGGGAUCAAGAAAGGCAACAAUAAAAGACUUAUUUUUGUGAAAGCAUUCUGUUGUACCAAGUAAAUGUCUGUUUACUUGUUAAUAUACACAUUGUUUAUUCUUCCUAACAUUUUAAAAAAGCUGCCUUCAGUUAUGCUCUGACAAAGGUUAAGGGACAGGAUUAGAACGCACACGUAUUACACCACAGUUAAAUUACAAAUAUGAUUGCUUUGCUUUAAUGCAAUUUUUGUCAUCUUCCAAUUUAUAAAAAACAAUUUUCUCUCAUUUUAAGUCAAAUAACUAUAAAAGGCCGGAGAAUUUCCAUAGCACUUUGCUUUUUGUCUUACCAGCUAGCCAGACUAGACUGAGAAUUACAACAUUUGUUUGUUUUUCUGUUUUUUUUGUUUUUUUUUUUUUUUAAUGUGUUUAAGAAGUGUUAUUUCUGUCAAUGUUUGGUUAUAAUUAAAAUAAACCCUUUUGACUUGACAAAAAUUAAAUAGGCAAGUGUUAAUGACCACUUGUCCCAUGGAAAACUGAUUCAAGGGAUCAUUCCUUAAAUAUGCCUUUGAACACUUUUUUUUUGAGCUUCUCAUAUUUAUUUCCUCUCAGAGUUUCUAAACUAUGUGUGGUUAUACAAUCCAUAAUGCAAUGGGAUAGACCAUUCCUAAACGCUGUCUUCUAUAAAGCUACAUUUCGGUAAGCACCUGCCUUAUUUCCAUAGCCAUAUGAUUUGUGAUAACUUAGUCUCCUACUUGCAGUUUAACUGAAACACUGCUGGUAAAUCAUCCACUGACUGAACAUGCGAUUACAGCUUUGAUUUCCUUUGUUCAAAUCAAUAUAUAAAUUCACACUAGUUAUCUAAAUAAGGAGCCAGGCAUACCAGCACGGGCCAAUUCAUUACUUAUCAGCAAGAGAUAAAUAUGGCAUGCAAAUCAAUCCAUGUUAAGCCUAUGUAAAACCUAGGAGAGAGCCUAAUCCGUCUUCUGCUCACUAUCCUGACACCCUAAACUGACAAGAGAGCACCAGAGUAGCAUGUUUUCAUUGUACUGGGUCAGCAAGACUCUUCAAUAUUCACUGAUAAAACUAAUCACUGAAAUCUGCAUUUGAAACAAAAUGAGUCUUAUAAUUUGCUUUAUUUCCCAAACUGAAUUACACAGCACUGCUUUUUACCUGGUUACCCUUAAGUAUUUAACAGGAAAUGGGACAGUUAUUGUCAAUGAUCAAUGGACCUGUUCCAGUUGAAUUACAUGAGAAUACAUUCAGAGAAACUCAGCCGAUGUAAAAAUUACGCUGGCAAAUAAUAUUAUAACUGGACAUAAUGAGAAAGAGAGAUGAUAUAUCCAUAAAUACAAUAGUAAAAAAAAAAAAAAAUUUUUCUUCUUUUAAAAACCCAAACCUUAAAAUAAAGGGCAGUGGUCAUACUCUGAAAUUUCUUUUUAAGCAUUACAGUCUCACUUGAAAAUCCACCUUACAAAGGCAAUGAAACAAUUUUACUUAGAUAAAUUAGACUGGCACUUUUCUUGUCCACAACGCUGUGUCAAAAUGUUAACUUCAAGUGAAAUGGAAAAAUUAUACAUCAUAUAAAUAAACUAAAUGGUUAAAAAAAUCCCAGAUGAAAAAAUGCUACCAGUGAUACCUUUCUGUAAAAAUUCCUGGGGGUUUUUUAAUGCUGUUUUUAAGCUUAAGUGAAAAUGGACAUUUUGGGAGAAAUAUAAUGGAAGACAAAAGAGUCAGGAAGAACUUUUAGCGAUCUACAAUUCUAGAAAAAAAUAAGUGUACAUAUAUAUAACUCACAAAACCAGCUGUCAUAUUUUAGAAUGGUACUGUCUCAUGAGAAGAAGGCAACAAAUUUAUUAUUAGAUAAUAAACAUUUGUUUCUUUUAAUAUCUAUUACAUUUCCAGAAUCUUGCAGAAAUUAUGAGAAUAUUUUACAAUAAUCUGCAGCAUCAUGGACCUACAAAAUUGAGUUCUACCUGUUUUUUUCAUAAAGAUUUUUUUAUCCAGGAAAUUUUCGGACACGUAAGCAACACAAAACCAAUGGGAACUACAGAAUACUGAUACUUUGUCAUACAAGAUGAAGCUCAUUUUUUUCCUACUGUAACUGUCAGGUCUGUCACCUCUCUCAAACCAACGCAUAAACCCACACGGUAACUAGAAAAGUCACUCAAGGCUAAGUACAUAUUCCUGACUAGCAAAAAAUACAUACAAUAUUUUAGACGAUUAAAGAAAAAGUAGGGCUGAUCAAAAGAAGUCAAGAGAUUAGAUGGCCUAUUGGGAUAACCAGUUGAUCUUUUAGUAGUUUCUGUAGUCAGCAGUACAAAAGCAGCACACAGACCUGCUUUACACUGAGAUAAUCCAAGUCCCUGGACUGCAGAUGUAAGUUUAGCAGAGUGAAUAAUGCCAGAAAUAAGGCUCAGACUCACAGUUCUGGAUCUAUAGAAAAUGCCUUUCUAUCUCUGUCACCAAACCUGUUCCUGAAUAUGACAGCGAGCAGUUUGCAUUUUCAGAGGGCUGCCUUAUGGCAGUUAUGACUGCAGUUGUCAAUUUUAAUAAUUAAAAUUAAUUUCCCAAAAGUUUUACAAAACCCUUGAUCUUUCACUAUGCGCCCCAGUAUGUCUUGUUCUCCAUCUGUAUUCUUGGGGUCAACAGACAGCUGAGGUGUUUGGUGGACUCGCCUACUACACCUUUACUGUAUCUCUCCUGUCCUUCCCUCUUCAUCUGUUUUUUGUCUAGGUUGAUCUGUUCUUUACAAACUUAAAGCCUUUUCGUACCUGCUCACUUGACUCUAGUGUAAAGUUCUUGCUAAACUAGCUAGUUUUAUUCAUAUGACAAAGUGAUUAAUUUGUUUCAGACCUGAGCAAAACCCAAAUACAAUGAUAAAAGAAUAAAGUUCUUAUUAUCACAAGAAGUACUGUUGAAAAAGGAACAUGAAAGCAUGAAAAACAUAUCUAUGUACAAUAUGAAAACAGUCAGAUAUUAUUGAUAAUUUUAAUAGAUAAAGUGAAUUUUAUAUAUUAUUUCAGUCAGCUGGGACUUUUAAUAUGCAAAAGUCACCAGAGGAUCGAGCUGAAACUAUGUAUUUUAAGUCAUAUAUUUCUCCUUGAUGGGAUCUAGUAAAGCAUAAUGACAGUUAACAUAAGAAACUAUUUCCUACAAAGAGCUUACCAAGAAAUACAAAUACAAGGAGAUUAAGUUCCUCAAGUUGUAAGUGGCCUGCACUGAAAAUAUUGAGUGUAUUUGGUUGUAAUUUGUCUUAUUUGUAAAAAAAAAAAGAAUUGCUGCCACUUGCAUUACAAAUGACACAAAUUUAUACAGCAGACUAAUUUAGUAAAAAAGGAAAUAGGGUUCUUCUG